AGCCGCACCUGCACCACCAGC
rnacentral:misc_RNA from 1 species